GAAAAACAAAAUUUUAAGUCUUCUAAUAUUUUACUGCUAAGGAAAAUGCAGUUGCAACUUAAGAAGAUAAGGAAGCAAAUAUAUUUUAUUUAUACAAAUUUCUUUGACAAUUGGACAACAAAAACAAAAAAUUAAAAACAGAAAGGAUACCAAGCAGGCCAAAAUAACAAAGCAAAGAUAAAACAGCAGUCAACCGUUACAGAUACAAAACGGGUAAACCAUGAUGAGAAUUAGCUUUCUUUUACACCAAGUCUGAGCACGUCUGCACACCUAUCAAAAGUCAGUUGCUUAACUUGCACGAGAAUAGCUUUGCUAUGAUGAGACGCUAGCUAUGAAAAUUAGAUCAAAAGCCAUGCAUCUUUGAUCAGCAUCUGGUAAUCCAUAGCAAAAAAUAAAUUUGCCAAAGAGACAUACUUCUGCAAAGCCAGUAAAAUGUCACCCAAGCUAACACAGGUGGUGGACAAAAUCUGAUUUAGCUGAAGACAAGAGAGAUGGAGAAAUUGAUAAAAUCUUCCACUGCGUUAAGUAUCAAGUAUACAAAAUACAAUGUUUUAGGGUAAUUACUCUUCAAAUUGAGUGGCAGCAGGCAAAUACAUUGAUAAGUGAAUAGACCUCGUUGUGCCUGAAAAAGUACUUUCAAGCAAAUAAACAAGCCUGCCAUCCCCAUAUGAAUAGGAAAAUUUUCAAAACUGGUGAAGAAGCGGUGAGCUUAUAUCAAAGUUAAUUAUUUAAAAUAUCUAUGAUCUGUUUAAAGGUUCUAACUGAACUUCCAUUCUUCCAGACUGUUGCACAUCUUUUUGUGCCGCCCUAGUUGGACUUAAAAGAUCAACAGAAUCCUCUUCUUCAAGGUUACCCAACACCCAAUUGCUUCUCCCAAAUAUUCUGUCCCUCCUCCGCUGUUUCUCUUGAUAUUCCAGAUACAUGACAAUCAGCAGAAGAAUCAAGAACCAAACGAUUAAUGCUCCAUUAUACCCAUGAAGAUCUUCACUUCCAUAUCUAUCUCUCAAAUGCUUUAGCCCGCUGAAAAGUGCGGCAACUCCCAAAACAAUUGCACAUCUGCCAAUAAUAAUGUGAAAAUACUCCCAAACCAGUCUCUUUGAGGAUACCUCCUCCCCAUUUACAGGUUUCUUAGGCCUCAUGAAAGCAUUUACUGGUUGCCCACAAGCCAAAAAUAUAGCAGUAAGCCCAAAUUUAACAUGUAAUGAGCUGACAUAUAAGCCCCGAAGCUCAGCCACCGCAAAAAGAAGGCCAAGUAGGACAAUUGCUAAACCCGAGUACUGCAAAUAAACAUGAAUCUGAUACCAGCCAUCCCCUUUCACAUGCUUCAAAUAUCUAGCUGCCAAAAUUCCACCAGGAAGCAAAAUACCCCAAGCAAGGAACAUCAUGAAUCCAUGCACAGCUAACACAGGUCGUAGAUCUUGCUCAGCCUCUGCAGAACCACGCAUAAGCAACACUCGGACAGGCCUAUUACUGGUAACAGAAUGCAUAUUUUUCUCACUUAGAUGUUUGUCUGACCAUUUGGUACCCAUUGCCCAUAUAACCUUAAGAGGGCUAGUGGGAUCAAUGAUAUUCUUACACUCUGGCUGAUCAUUGUGACUACAUGUUGGUUUAAAGGGCCGUGUAAACUCAAAGGUAAUGAUGCCAUUUUCUGAUUUGAACCUUAUAUCAGUCAAAUUCUCAUUUGUUGGAUGAACACUAAAGGCAUCCUUCCCAUCAAUCCAAUAUGUGUUUACAUGCCCUUUGCUGCUCUCAUCCACCCAGCCAACAUAAGCAUAACUAUUCACCAUUCCACUACCAAAUCCUAUUGCAAUAUAACCACUCUUUUUCUCACCUCGAGCUGCAAUAGAUAUAGAAUCCUUUGCCAAUGUCCAAAAGAACGUCACUUGUUGAUCGUCCAAAACAACACUAUUAUUAUACAUAUCAGAUAAACCCCCAUCAACAACCUGAACUCUCCAGCCCAUCUUCUGCUGAUACAAGGAUUGAUAGUACACUUGAUCUGGAGUAUUCCUAUCUGGUUGCCAAACCAAUUCCAUUGGACUAGCCAAAACACCCUCGGCUUCAGGGCCUCCAGCAUAAAUAGUCUCUGUCUUAUUCCUCAGUGUUGCAUUCCCACCUAUCAAAUCUGAAGUAAUGUACAACGCAACAUCAUGUCCAGCUUGCACUGAUAACUUCACUGGCACCCCUCUUUCAACUCUCAAAACUGGAGCCUCUUUCUUAUUAAUGUACAAAACCUUAGAAGGAUUCGGCGGAUUAGGAUAAUGCAUUGCAGGACCAGUAGUAACAACAAGAGGCACGUUUGCAUCUGCAAUAAUCAAAUCCUGAUCCUCCUUGUCUUCAGCAUCCAAGGGCCCCAAACAAUCAUUCACCUGCUCAGAUACAUUAAGCACCAGAUGGCCAUAAGUCACCAUUUUUGGGCCUCCAUGAUACUGAGGAAGAUAGUAAGGCCUAAUAGUGUCAGGUGGCCUCAUCAACCCCAAUGCCCAAAUCACUGUCAUAUUAGCAGUAUGACUCACAGGCAAAUCAUAUUUCUUGUCAACUGAAACCAACGGCCUCCUGUACCUUACAAAGGACACCCCAUCCCUUCUAUGCCCAUAAAUCAGUUUUGUAUUGUUCACCAAUCCAACUGGGUCCGACCCUUCAUAUAUGGUAUCUGGGCAAACACCGAAGGCUGAACCAUCCUUGUUUAUCGUACACUCACUGUAUUUGGUGAUGAAAAAAUCAUCAGCAAACGGCUUUCCUUCCUCUGUGAACCCAGCCACCGCUACAUCAGCCUCCUGCAUUAGAUCGGCGUCAGAAUCCAGUUGCGCCCACCCGAAUGCCAUGUAAUUCUGGAUCCCAGUGGCGGCCUCUAAUCCUAUAUCUAUGAAAUUAUUUUUUAUACUCAAACUCCAUCUAAUCCUAUAGUUCUUAGACAACACCUUGCAGUUAUCAAACAUCGUCGGCGCAGUAAAAGUCAAAUUUUUCCCUUCCUCGAGCGUAGUAUCGUUAUCAGAGGGCGAAGGUGCCAGGCCAGGGCUUAAGGCUGACUCAUUUGCGAGAAUAAUGUGACCGAAAUCGGAAGCCGUGGGCAGGUCCCAGACAGAGAGGACUCGGAUCCGAUCCCACGUCAUGUUUUUGUACAAACGAACAACAAAAGAUGUAUUCUUGUAGGUCUCGUUAAGCUUAUGAUCGGAGAUGAUAAAACCAUCGGUCAAAUUACCGAAAUCAGGGGCGAGCGCGCCCAACCAGUGCACGUCGGAUCCAGAAAGCAUGUCAAAUUGAGAAACCCUAAAUGAGCAAUCGUCGAUUAUGGUGAACGCUCCACGGAGCUGGUGUUGAACCAUGGUGAAUUGGGAUUGGAAUCCGACAUAGGAGCUCGUCUUUGAACAGGGUUGACCGGGAUCCGCAUGGCAAAAGUGAAAUAAGGAAUUGAAAAGAAACCCUAACACGACAACGAGACGCUUGUUGUGGUACAUGAAGGACGUGAGAUCCGAUCCGGAUCGGAUCACCAAAGGUAGGAUCGGAAUUCGUCGUUUAAUCAGAUAGGAAAUGGAGAACAAAAGGAAAAAAUGAUCUGACCUGCAGUGAGUUGGCGAUGGAAAGGCACCAAAAGAAGAGGCGAAGCGAGCUGACUCAAUAGCAAAAGCGAGUCGCAGGUUCAUGAAACACUUAGAUUUCCAAUUUGGCGGAGCCGAUGGAAGUGAGAGAAAAUGGGAUUGCGUCAGAGGAGUGGCAUUUCCGUCCAAAACCCUUUGAUAAACCGAUGAACAGGGGAUGCGGCUUCGCAUCUAAGCCAACCCUUACACGUAAC
rnacentral:misc_RNA from 1 species